UCCCUAGUGGCUCAGCUGGUAAAGCAUCUGCCUGCAGUGUGGGAGACCUGGGUUCAAUCCCUGGGUUGGGAA
rnacentral:tRNA from 1 species